GAGAUGUGCUGCAUCCUCUCAUCCCCUCGCUCAGGAAGACCUCUGAUGGGAGAGCAACUGCCAGGGAGAAGCUGAACGGCACUGAAGAGGUGCAGGAGGCAGCUAAUGUGCAUUUGGGCAGCUGACCACCAGCUCCUUCCUAUAAAAUGUCCAUAUGGUCCUUCCUAUAAAAUUCUUUGUAGAGAACUGUGAAUAAUACUGGGUGUAUCACAGAGGCCUGCUGGGCUCCACAAAGCCUGUGUGAGGGGAAAAACAGAAUGCUCAGUGCAGGAUCUGUGCAGCUACUGUGGUGCUUCAAAGGGAGCCAGAAAGCAAAACAGCACAGUGGAUGGAGGACUGUGCCAUUCUUGGUUUCUCCUCAGGUACUUUGGAUCCAACUCUGACUUCUCCAGAGCAUCUCACCACCUACACAAGAGUGGAAAAGCACCAGUUUCCUCACUGUAAGGUCUCUGCUGUCUGUAAAGCUUUAUUUCAUAUAGGAACACGUACCCUUGGAGAAAUUUCAGAGGGCAAGUUCCAGCUGUGGCAGUGUCCAAUCAAAAGGCUGCAAGAGCUUUUUUUUUUUCUUCCCCCAGCACUGGCCUGGAGAAGGAGACAACUGUCCCGAGGAUACAAGGUGCCCCAACUCCAUGGCAGAUAUCUUGGCUGUGUGUUUUGGGGUAUUUACUCUUGGUGGGUUGGUAAAUACAAUGACAGGGGUGUUCAAUCCCACGGACGCCGCAGAUCCCUGGCUGUGUUUUGGGGUAUUUACCGU
rnacentral:lncRNA from 1 species